rnacentral:lncRNA from 1 species
CUGGGGAGGUGGUCGUGGUGGUGGUGGUGGGGGGGAGGGGGGGGGUUGAGGGGGGGACACACCUGGGGGGCUGCACCCCACAUCCAGGCAGUGCCACCGCGCUCCCACGUGCGGCUGCGCCGGGCGGCUGCUUGUGCCCAACCGGCAGCACCGGGGCAGCGCCUCCCCCCCCCACCCCCCCCGCUCCAACAACCCUCGGACCCCCCCCCCCCACCCCUCCUCUCCACCUCCCCGGGCCAUGUUGGGGGGCGCGGAGAGGGGAGUGGGGCGCCUGAGGAUCUGCGAGCGGACCCAAAUGCUGCUGGUGGAGAUCAGGGCGGUGACGCCGUGUUGCAGCCCGACCGCCGCGAUGGCCGCAGGGUGCCGACCCGCGUCCCCGUGGGGCUAUCAGCGCUUCGCCGGGGCGUACACGUUCCUGGAGAAGCGCAUCGUGGCGGAGCUGACCCCCCCCCGGCCCCGCGUUGUCCCCCCCCCAGGACUUCACUUCCCACCCCUCCCGGCUCCGUCCCCUCCCCGUGGAACCGCACUACGGCCCCCCCCCGGAGCGGCACCCACCGGGGGGUCCCCUCUGCGCCCCAUUAACGGCAGCCAGGCCGGGCCCCCCCAGCUACGAGACCCACAUGCGGAGAGCGCGGGCGGCCCACCUGCGCCGGGGGGGCCGCCCCCAUACGUCUCCCCCCCCGCCUACAACGCUCCGCACCGCACCCUGCGCCCCCCCCCGGCCCAGAGGCCGCGCAGCCCCCUCCCCAAACCCCGCGGCCGUGGGGCUGUGCCGGGGGCUGCAGCCAUACGCUGCCCCGCGCCGCCACCGAGGGGGGGUCCCGAUGGCUCCGUGGGAUGCAGCCCCCCCCGGGAAUAACGGAACCCCCCCGGCACUGCCAGACCCUUCCCCGCACCGCAGCCCCCCGCCACAGACCCGUAGGGCCCAAUGGGGGCCGGCGGGGGUCGGGGGGGCACGUCCUCAUCGACGCCACGCGCGUGGUGGUCCGGGCUCAGUACGUGCCCCCCCCGCAGCGACACCACGUGCGUUACGCCGGGGGGGUCUCCGUGCCCGCCACCCCCCCGGGAACCCCCCCCGCACCCCACGGAGCCUCCACCCCCCCCUCAGCUCUCUCACCCCCCGCGGCUCCGAGCAGAGCCCGGGGAAGGGUGGGGGGUCCCGGGGGCGGCCCCCCCCUCGGCGGCCGGCCCUAUACAGCCAGGCGCUGCGGGAGGCGGUGUCCCGGAUCCGACGGCACACGGCGCCCGACUCCGACUCCGAUGCCGAGGGGGGGGCCGGGGGGGGGCGGCAGCGGCCGUGCCGCGAUGUCAGCGCCUACAGCAGCAGCAGCAGCCUGGAGAGCCUGGGGGGGGCCCCCCCGGGGACGGCCAGCCCCAUCCGGGCG